GAUGAACGCUGGCGGAGUGCCUAACACAUGCAAGUCGAGCGGCAGCGCGAGUAGUUUACUACUUGGCGGCGAGCGGCGGACGGCUGAGUAACGCGUGGAACAUGCCCCAAAGUGAGGAAUAACUGCCCGAAAGGGUAGCUAAUGCCGCAUACGAUCUUCGGAUUAAAGGAUUUAUCCGCUUUGGGAGUGGCCUGCGUACGAUUAGAUAGUUGGUGAGGUAAUGGCUCACCAAGUCUACGAUCGUUAACUGGUUUGAGAGGAUGAUCAGUCAGACUGGAACUGAGACACGGUCCAGACUCCUACGGGAGGCAGCAGUGAGGAAUCUUCCACAAUGGACGAAAGUCUGAUGGAGCAACUCCGCGUGCAGGAUGAAGGCCUUCGGGUCGUAAACUGCUUUAUGAGUGAAGAAUAUGACGGUAACUCAUGAAU
rnacentral:rRNA from 1 species